AACCCAAAAUGAUCAUCUUCUCCAUAUUGUUCUGCCGAUUUUUGCUCUCCUCCAUAGCUGGGGUUUCUUCAACUUUCAAACUUCAUAAUCAAGAGAAACGAGAUUCAAGUCGUGAUCGGGGGAAAAACAAAGUUUACGAGGAAUAGGCUCGAUUGUUAAAAAUUUUGUACCGAGUUUUAACAAGCCGGCUUGAGAAUUGGGAUAGGUCGAAGACUCGUUCACACUAUCCGAAGGCCUAAAUUGGUAAAAUGGCUUGUGUGUUUUGAAUGUGGCAUGUAUGGCAAAAUACUCACUUUGUGUAAAUG